GACGAACGCUGGCGGCGUGCUUAACACAUGCAAGUCGAACGGAGUGGCGAACGGGUGAGUAACACGUGGGUGAUCUGCCUUGCACUUCGGGAUAAGCUUGGGAAACUGGGUCUAAUACCGGAUAGUGCAAGAUGUGCUCGCGGCCUAUUAGCUUGUUGGUGGGGUAAUGGCCUACCAAGGCGUCGACGGGUAGCCGGCCUGAGAGGGUGUACGGCCACCUUGGGACUGAGGUACGGCCCAGAAGACAACGGGAGGCAGCAGUGGGGAAUAUUGCAGAAUGGGCGGAAGCGUGAGGCAGCGACGCCGGGUGGGGGAUGAAGGCCUUCGGGUUGUAAACUCCUUUCGACAGGGACGCGGUACCUGUAUAAGAAGCACCGGCUAACUACGUGCCAGCAGCCGCGGUAAUAC
rnacentral:rRNA from 1 species